GACGGAGGAUGCAAGUGUUAUCCGGAAUCACUGGGCGUAAAGCGUCUGUAGGUGGUCAAAUAAGUCAACUGUUAAAUCUUGAGGCUUAACCUCAAAAUCGCAGUCGAAACUAUUAGACUAGAGUAUAGUAGGGGUAAAGGGAAUUUCCAGUGGAGCGGUGAAAUGCGUAGAGAUUGGAAAGAACACCGAUGGCGAAGGCACUUUACUGGGAUAUUACUAACACUCAGAGACGAAAGCUAGGGUAGCAAAUGGG
rnacentral:rRNA from 1 species